rnacentral:rRNA from 1 species
AACGAACGCUGGCGGCAUGCCUAACACAUGCAAGUCGAACGAGACCUUCGGGUCUAGUGGCGCACGGGUGCGUAACGCGUGGGAAUCUGCCCUUGGGUUCGGAAUAACUCAGAGAAAUUUGAGCUAAUACCGGAUGAUGACGAAAGUCCAAAGAUUUAUCGCCCAAGGAUGAGCCCGCGUAAGAUUAGCUUGUUGGUGGGGUAAUGGCCCACCAAGGCGACGAUCUUUAGCUGGUCUGAGAGGAUGAUCAGCCACACUGGGACUGAGACACGGCCCAGACUCCUACGGGAGGCAGCAGUGGGGAAUAUUGGACAAUGGGCGAAAGCCUGAUCCAGCAAUGCCGCGUGAGUGAUGAAGGCCUUAGGGUUGUAAAGCUCUUUUACCAGGGAUGAUAAUGACAGUACCUGGAGAAUAAGCUCCGGCUAACUCCGUGCCAGCAGCCGCGGUAA